rnacentral:rRNA from 1 species
ACAUCCGUAGCUUGUUUUGUAAGUUUCUUGUGAAAUCCUGUCUCUUAAGGAUAGGAAGUGCAAGAAAUACUGCAGAACUUGAGACCGGAAGACGUAAGGAGUAAAUUUAAGGUAGUAGUAAAAUACGUUAAUCUUAAAUUGACUAACAAGAGCGAAGGCACCUUACGAGUACGGAUCUGACAGUGAGGGAUGAAGGCUAGGGGCGCGAAACGGAUUAGAUACCCGUGUAGUCCUAGCAGUAAACACUGCGCACUAAACAUCAUUAUCUCCUCGAGAGAUAUUGGUGCUGCACCGAAGGGGAAGAGUGCGCUACCUGGGAAGUAUAGCCGCAAGGCCGAAAUUUAAAGGAAUUGGCGGGGGAGCACAAGCC